UAUCUUGACCAUUUUCCGAUUUGUCAGGAGGCAAAUGGUAUCUCCAAAGAAAGUACAUGUGCAGACAACAUGAAACUUUAGACUGCAGACACAAGCAGCAACCAUGCAGUUAUCAUACUCGUGUCACAGAAGUGGUAAAGGACGUGUGUGACAGCUUGAAUGGUAUUUUUUUGUAAAGAUUUUGGCCAUGGCUGGGUAUUUAUAUUUUUAAUUGAUAAUUCGGUAGAAAUUUUGGGUUGGAUAAGCAAACUUUUUUCCAAGAAAAACAUUUCUCUUCGGUGCCACCCCCACCUUAAAUAAUGACGGUUCCCCAAUAUAAUUAUAAGUCUUUGCACGCUUCCAAGAAGUUGUGCUUCUAUUUAAAGUGUUUUUUGUCCAUGCCCGCUUCAAUAGAUUCGUGAGCACGCUAUCCAUCAACAGAGGCAUUUCAAUAAAGUUUUGCAGACAUAAGCUUUGUAGUCUAGGAUAUCGCUGGGAACAGACAUUAGAAACCUUACGAUUUUACGACGGCAACGGCUACCAA
rnacentral:lncRNA from 1 species